GGUUAAGCGACUAAGCGUACACGGUGGAUGCCCUGGCAGUCAGAGGCGAUGAAGGGCGUGCUAAUCUGCGAUAAGCGCCGGUAAGGUGAUAUGAACCGUUAUAACCGGCGAUACCCGAAUGGGGAAACCCAGUGUGAUUCGUCACACUAUCAUUACGUGAAUACAUAGCGUAAUGAAGCGAACCGGGGGAACUGAAACAUCUAAGUACCCCGAGGAAAAGAAAUCAACCGAGAUUCCCCCAGUAGCGGCGAGCGAACGGGGAGGAGCCCAGAGCCUGAAUCAGCAUGUGUGUUAGUGGAAGCGUCUGGAAAGGCGCGCGAUACAGGGUGACAGCCCCGUACACAAAAGCGCAUGUGCUGUGAGCUCGAUGAGUAGGGCGGGACACGUGGUAUCCUGUCUGAAUAUGGGGGGACCAUCCUCCAAGGCUAAAUACUCCUGACUGACCGAUAGUGAACCAGUACCGUGAGGGAAAGGCGAAAAGAACCCCGGCGAGGGGAGUGAAAAAGAACCUGAAACCGUGUACGUACAAGCAGUGGGAGCACAGGUUUACCUGUGUGACUGCGUACCUUUUGUAUAAUGGGUCAGCGACUUAUAUUCUGUAGCAAGGUUAACCGUAUAGGGGAGCCGGAGGGAAACCGAGUCUUAACCGGGCGUUAAGUUGCAGGGUAUAGACCCGAAACCCGGUGAUCUAGCCAUGGGCAGGUUGAAGGUUGGGUAACACUAACUGGAGGACCGAACCGACUAAUGUUGAAAAAUUAGCGGAUGACCUGUGGCUGGGGGUGAAAGGCCAAUCAAACCGGGAGAUAGCUGGUUCUCCCCGAAAGCUAUUUAGGUAGCGCCUCGUGAAUUCAUCUCCGGGGGUAGAGCACUGUUUCGGCUAGGGGGCCAUCCCGGCUUACCAACCCGAUGCAAACUGCGAAUACCGGAGAAUGUUAUCACGGGAGACACACGGCGGGUGCUAACGUCCGUCGUGAAGAGGGAAACAACCCAGACCGCCAGCUAAGGUCCCAAAGUCAUGGUUAAGUGGGAAACGAUGUGGGAAGGCCCAGACAGCCAGGAUGUUGGCUUAGAAGCAGCCAUCAUUUAAAGAAAGCGUAAUAGCUCACUGGUCGAGUCGGCCUGCGCGGAAGAUGUAACGGGGCUAAACCAUGCACCGAAGCUGCGGCAGCGACGCUGAUGCGUUGUUGGGUAGGGGAGCGUUCUGUAAGCCUGUGAAGGUGUGUCGUGAGGCAUGCUGGAGGUAUCAGAAGUGCGAAUGCUGACAUAAGUAACGAUAAAGCGGGUGAAAAGCCCGCUCGCCGGAAGACCAAGGGUUCCUGUCCAACGUUAAUCGGGGCAGGGUGAGUCGACCCCUAAGGCGAGGCCGAAAGGCGUAGUCGAUGGGAAACGGGUUAAUAUUCCCGUACUUGGUGUUACUGCGAAGGGGGGACGGAGAAGGCUAUGUUGGCCGGGCGACGGUUGUCCCGGUUUAAGCGUGUAGGUGUGUGUUCCAGGUAAAUCCGGUUCACUUUAACACUGAGGCGUGAUGACGAGGCACUACGGUGCUGAAGCAACAAAUGCCCUGCUUCCAGGAAAAGCCUCUAAGCAUCAGGUAACAUCAAAUCGUACCCCAAACCGACACAGGUGGUCAGGUAGAGAAUACCAAGGCGCUUGAGAGAACUCGGGUGAAGGAACUAGGCAAAAUGGUGCCGUAACUUCGGGAGAAGGCACGCUGACACGUAGGUGAAGUGAUUUACUCAUGGAGCUGAAGUCAGUCGAAGAUACCAGCUGGCUGCAACUGUUUAUUAAAAACACAGCACUGUGCAAACACGAAAGUGGACGUAUACGGUGUGACGCCUGCCCGGUGCCGGAAGGUUAAUUGAUGGGGUCAGCGCAAGCGAAGCUCCUGAUCGAAGCCCCGGUAAACGGCGGCCGUAACUAUAACGGUCCUAAGGUAGCGAAAUUCCUUGUCGGGUAAGUUCCGACCUGCACGAAUGGCGUAAUGAUGGCCAGGCUGUCUCCACCCGAGACUCAGUGAAAUUGAACUCGCUGUGAAGAUGCAGUGUACCCGCGGCAAGACGGAAAGACCCCGUGAACCUUUACUAUAGCUUGACACUGAACAUUGAGCCUUGAUGUGUAGGAUAGGUGGGAGGCUUUGAAGUGUGGACGCCAGUCUGCAUGGAGCCGACCUUGAAAUACCACCCUUUAAUGUUUGAUGUUCUAACGUGGACCCGUAAUCCGGGUUGCGGACAGUGUCUGGUGGGUAGUUUGACUGGGGCGGUCUCCUCCUAAAGAGUAACGGAGGAGCACGAAGGUUGGCUAAUCCUGGUCGGACAUCAGGAGGUUAGUGCAAUGGCAUAAGCCAGCUUGACUGCGAGCGUGACGGCGCGAGCAGGUGCGAAAGCAGGUCAUAGUGAUCCGGUGGUUCUGAAUGGAAGGGCCAUCGCUCAACGGAUAAAAGGUACUCCGGGGAUAACAGGCUGAUACCGCCCAAGAGUUCAUAUCGACGGCGGUGUUUGGCACCUCGAUGUCGGCUCAUCACAUCCUGGGGCUGAAGUAGGUCCCAAGGGUAUGGCUGUUCGCCAUUUAAAGUGGUACGCGAGCUGGGUUUAGAACGUCGUGAGACAGUUCGGUCCCUAUCUGCCGUGGGCGCUGGAGAACUGAGGGGGGCUGCUCCUAGUACGAGAGGACCGGAGUGGACGCAUCACUGGUGUUCGGGUUGUCAUGCCAAUGGCACUGCCCGGUAGCUAAAUGCGGAAGAGAUAAGUGCUGAAAGCAUCUAAGCACGAAACUUGCCCCGAGAUGAGUUCUCCCUGAGACUUAGAGUCUCCUGAAGGAACGUUGAAGACGACGACGUUGAUAGGCCGGGUGUGUAAGCGCAGCGAUGCGUUGAGCUAACCGGUACUAAUGAACCGUGAGGCUUAACCUU
rnacentral:rRNA from 1 species